GCGAAAAUGAUUUAAAAGGCUGUAUGCAUGCCAGGUCAGUAGUUGGCGAUGUCACUUCGUCAAGAAACUCCCCAUGUGAACACAUAAUUAUCAGAUAAUUAUGCGCAGACAGUUUUUGUUGACAUGGAGAGAGACAGUAACGUUACUGAGUAAAGGCAUCGGAUUCAAACUCACUUUGAAAUCCGGUUUCAAAAGCUUAAGUUUAAACUCAAAAUUCCAGGACCAAAACACACUGUUGUCGUGUAAAUGAACAGCCAAAACGCAUAAAAAGUUUUCCAUUUUCAGUUGAAAACAGUGUCAUGGAAGUUACUUACAGAAUUUGAAAGCUAAUGUCAAAAUAAUGAAUAGAAACUGCCUAAAUUCAGCAGUUGGGCUAUGUGAAAUUCUAAUUUAACUUACUUUCAAAUUUCAUUUUAGUGACUGCUGCCACUCAUGGACACGUUUGUGAGAGGAAAAUUGUCUGAAUGGCAGCUUGAAAAUCUUAUAGACACCUUUAAAGCUGCUAAAGAGGAGACAGCUUUGAAGGUCCUGCCAACUCUGCUUCCCCCAUCCAUCUACAGGAGAGGAGGAAAGGUCUUCAGACCCACCACAGAGGAGGCCCAGAAGUCAUUUAUUGACAUGCAACCUUUCGGACUGAGCUGAUCAACAAACGGACAGGGAAUUACGUCAUCACGUUGAAAGGUCACGCCUACUAUUCAUAUUCAUCAGAAUGUUAUUCAUUUACUAUUCAUAUUCAUAUUCACUGAAUACUAUUACUAUAUAUAUAUAAUUGCAAAUAAUACUAUUUGAACUAUCCUCCUA
ensembl:lncRNA